GAGCAUUUUUCUGGGUUGGACCGGAAGGGACGCCUAACAAUAAUGGCGACUAUGCGAUUCCAGACGAAACGGGAAGUACUGGUGUUAUCAGCGCGUACAACGGUGAAACGAUCACCCUUACCUUUCCCGAGGGAACAGACAUAUUCGACAUCGGACACUUCGGGCUGUGGUGCAUCGCGUUCACGCAGGACUUUGGGCACGUCGACAUCCCUUCGCAAGCCGAGCUCAACAUCCCCCAGCACCUCUCACCGCCGGUGGUGGCGGACCAACGAGAUUGAUGUUUCCAAACUGCGAGACGCUGGUCGAAGACGAGCUUCAAGUGAGUUGGAUGAUAAACGGCACCGACAUCGUCAUCCGACUGAGCAGCACCAAUGUCGUUGGCGACUACGCCGCGUUCGGUCUUAGUGGAUCGCCAACGGGUACUUUGAUGGUGGCGGGGAUGUUGUAGUGACUUUCAAGGAUGAUAUGGAAAAUUAUUAUGCCAUUGACUACUAUCUUCAAGGCCAAUCUCAGUGUUCCCCUCAAAAUGGCGGUGGUGCCUGUCCAGAUACAAUUUCAUCAGCACAAGACGGUAACAACAACGCAGAAUUGGUUGAGGCCUAUAUGGAGAACGGAGUAGUCACAAACAUCGUUUACCGCCGGCCUCUUAAUGCAUCUGACGCAACAUAUGACAAGGCUUUCACUACUGAUGGUCCAAUCUACGUCAUCUGGGCUCGAGGACCUAUCAAUGGUGAUGGACGUGUUGCUUACCACACUUACCACGAUCUACGACGGUCGCCAAGGUCUUCGAAUCUCACGAUCGAUUUCGGACGUAAUAGCACCAGGUGCCCACCUCUCGGCCAGGGUGCUACUGUGCCACCCAUAACAGAUGGCUGGGUGAUCCCAGGAAUUGAAGAACUUGAAGAAGCUACCUUCACCGUGGAGAUGGGAUUGUCUGGUGGAAGAAAAGGAUAUGAAUCUAUCACUGGCCGUGUUGGUUGGGGAAUCGCAUGGUUUAUCAACGGUCAGCUCAUUCCUGAGCUAACCCUGAAACGCAACGUGACCUACACAUUCCGUGUCAGUGGUGGAGAUGACCCGGUCGUCAGUGGUAACUAUCAUCCCUUCUAUAUUACUGAUGACGUCAACGGUGGCUAUGAGCAGCUCACCGAAGAAGAACGACAGGGUAUUAAGAUCUACGCAGGCCCUGAAGAGGGUCCACUUUGCCAGUACAUGAGCAGCGCAGACCCUAAUUCGUACAGCACGUUUGACGACUAUAAGACGACCCUGACCAAGGAUUGCGCACCCGGUGAUCCGGGCGUACUCGAGUGGACCGUCCCGCUCGAUGCACCUGAUCUGCUUUACUACCAGUGCUACACUCAUCGUUUCCUCGGAUGGAAAAUUAACGUGACAGACAGCGCCACCACCGUCUCACUGUCUGUAUUCAACAUAGUUCUCCUCUAUCUUCUCUACUUAAUCUUGUAAAAAUCGUUAUCUGCAACUCAAAUUAUUGGCAUAUCAUUUUGUCUUUCAUUUCCAUAAACCUCUGAAAGACAGUUUUCCAAGAUUUUUGUAUAUACAUUUUCUGUGAAGUAUGACUAUAGUGCGUGGUGGAGGAGUAUCAUGCAUAACGCACAACGUUUUUGCUAUAUUUGUGAUAUGCCUUCAUAAUCCUGAUUGUUUUCAUGGUUGAAGAGUCUAGACGUUGCGAAGAAAUUAUUUAGAUUAAUAAUGCCUGUUAUACAUUCAUUCGCACAAAAUCUUAGUAGUAGAGUAUAAUGUGAAAGUGAAAGACGAAAUAGUUUCAACAGGAUGUCCAUUUCAUCCAUUUAACCUCUGAAGUUUUUUAUCAUAAUGUCUUAUAACUGUUGACCUAUACCACCAAGAAGAAAGAACAUAUUGAUUGAAACUAUUCUGCUAUGUCAUGUCUCAGGGCUCAAAGUUUUUUUUACCUACGGAUGGGCUGUAGGAGCCCCUAAUUACUACAAUCAACUCUUCGAUUCCUGUCGAGCAUUUUUUAAUUUAAACUGUUUUGUAUAUUCACUCAACUUGUAAAUUUCGAUAGAUAAUAAUAGUUACUCGUUAUCUGUCGCAUAUAUAAAGUAAAACAUGUUUGUCCAGGUUUUACUGACUAAAAUAGGAAUAGAAAUUAUGAUUCAUGAUAGUGCAUUGUACUGCAUGUCUUGCCACGCGUAUUAUGGUAAUGAGACUAUCUGUUUUGUGUGGUAACGACCCAUUUUCCUUUCAAGUUUGCAGAGUAUAUCAUGACAACUUUGUAAUUCUUCAAAAACUGAUGUUAUUUCUUACAUAAUAUGUUUAUUGUUCAGUGCCUCUCUAUACAAAAAAUACGUGAAAAUUAUUAAAAACACAUUUACGAAAUAUAGAAAGAAGAUAGUGCAACAGUUAUUAUCAAUAGUUCUAUAUAACUUUCAUACCGAAUUUCUACUUUGUAUGAAUUUGCUCAAAGAACUAAAUAUAUUACUUUCUGGAAUAUAAUUUUAUAUUGUUUUAAUAAAUUGUUAAACUGA